GCCCCCGUGGUCUAAUUGGAUAAGGCGCCUGGCUUCGGACCAGGAGAUUUGAGGGUUCGAGUCCUUCCGGGGGCA
rnacentral:tRNA from 1 species